rnacentral:rRNA from 1 species
AAUGAACGUUGGCGGCGUGGAUUAGGCAUGCAUGUCGUACGGGUCGGUGUAGCAAUACAACGGCAAGUGGCGAAAGGGAGAGUAACACGUAGAUACCUACCCUCUGGUCGGGGAUACCGCGGCAUAACCGCAAGUAAUACCCGAUAAAAUCUCCGGAUCAAAGGUGUGAUUCCGCCGGAGGAGGGGGUGGCGUUCUAUCAGCUUGUUGGUGAGGUAAUGGCUCACCAAGGCUAAGACGGAUACGGGGUGUGAGAGCAUGCCCCCGCUCACUGGGACUGAGACACUGCCCAGACACCUACGGGUGGCUGCAGUCGAGAAUCUUCGGCAAUGGGCGCAAGCCUGACCGAGCGACGCCGCGUGCGGGAUGAAGGCCUUCGGGUUGUAAACCGCUGUCGAGGGGAAUGAAGUGUAGGUGGGUACUCCCAUCUAUUUGACAGAUCCCUGGAGGAAGCAUGGGCUAAGUUCGUGCCAGCCGCCGCAGUAACAC